UGAGCCACCGCGCCCGGCCUCGAGCAGGCCUUUCUGAGGACAGCAGUCAGGCCUGCUGUGUUAAACACUGUUCUCUGUGGGCCAAAAGCAUUUCCUAAGUAUUUUUCUGUCUUUAGUACCCAAUAGUAAUUCUAAUUAGAUUAUGACUGUUUUGAUAUCUGGAGGAGACCGAUUGGAGACAGGACGGAUGUGGGGCACUCAGCCUUUCUCCUCCCUUCCCCUCUGUUGGGCAUCCCAUUUCCUGUGCAGUCCCUGGUCUGCCCUCAUCCACUCCAGCACGACGUGGUGUCAGAGGCUGCAGGAACCAGAAUUAAGUCAGGAUAAGGAGGGCCCACGCCCUGGACUUGUCUACCCCCUGAGCCAGGCUGUGGGGUUCCCAGUUAGUGGAGGGAUGGCUGGUUACUUGCCAUGCCCACAUCGGGCUUGCUACUGGGGCUCACCUGCUUCUCCCGUGUCCAGGGUUCAACUCUGCCACCAACAUCGUGGUGUUGGCUGGCACCAACCGCCCUGACAUCCUGGACCCAGCCCUGAUGCGGCCUGGCCGAUUUGAUCGCCAGAUUUACAUUGGCCCCCCUGACAUCAAAGGCAGGUCCUCCAUCUUUAAGGUCCACCUGCGCCCACUGAAGCUGGACGAGAGCCUCGAUAAGGACACCCUGGCUAGGAAGCUGGCAGCGCUCACCCCAGGCUUCACUGGAAACCUACUUCCCUGCCUAGGCUGGAUCACCCUCAGGAAUGAGUGGGGACUUCUCCGGGGGAUUCCUGUCCUGCUUACCCAUACUUCACGGUUAUGCGGCCAUUGGCCACGGCCUCUGACCUAUGCCCACCUGCUCCCACCACCCCUGGAACAUUCUGCUGUGGCAUCUCAUCACCUCCAGCUGCCUUGGCACCCCCAGUGGUACCCAUCCCCUAGGCUCCCCAGUGUCCUGCCUAGUGUCAGGUCAGGUGUAUUCACACAGGAUUGUACAUUUGUCUGCUGCAGAAUGGUGAGUGAGGUCUUGCCUGGCAGGCAUCUGAAGGGUGUCAUGUGUCUUAGACACAAAAUGUGCUUCUUUCCUUUUGUUCUCUCCUCUGGCUGACUUCAGAUGUCUGUUUACAUACCAAAGAUAAAAUGCUGGAAUGUUACCAAGACUGCUUUCUUGUGCCCCUAGAGGGGAUGACACAGCAGGGAUGAAUCAGCACUACCCCUCAGCAGGGAUGCCUGAUGACUCUGACUGCCCCUCAGCAGGGAUUACUAAGCACUAGCCCUUAACAAAGGUGACUCAGCAGGGAUGACUCAACAGGGAUGACUCAGCAGAGAUGACUCAGCAGGGAUAGCUCAUUACUGCCCCUGAACACGGAUGACUCAGCAGGGAUGACUCAGCACUGCUCCUCCACAGGGAUGACUCAGCAAGGAUGACUUAGCAUUGCCCCUCAACAGGGAUGACUCAGCAGGGAUGAUUCAGCAGAGAUGACAGCACUGUGCCUCAGCAGGGAUGACUCAGCAGGGAUGGCUCAGCACUGCCCCUCAACAGGGAUGACUCAGCACUGCCCAACAGGGAUGACUCAGCAGGGAUGACUCAGCACUGCCCCUCAACAGGGAUGACUCAGCAGGGAUGAC